rnacentral:tRNA from 1 species
AGUUUUGUAAUCAAAAAUGAUUUUAAAUUGCAAAUUUAAAGUGAUUAAUCAAUCCAAAACUU